rnacentral:rRNA from 1 species
AAACAUUAAUAGUGCACCNNNNNNNNNAUUCGCCCGGAUACUACGAGCGCAAGCUUAAAAGCCAAAGGACUUGGCGGUGCUUUAGAUCCUACUAGAGGGACACGUCCUAGAACCGACAACACCCGUUUAACCUCACCUUUCCUUGUUUUUUUCCGCCUAUAUACCACCGUCGUAAGCUGACCCUUUGAGGGGCCCGUAGUAAGCUAAACUGCACAGCCCAGAACGUCAGGUCGAGGUGUAGUGUAUGGAAAGGGAAGAGACGCGUCCCAAUUUCUAAUAAAGAAUCCCCGAUAGCAUGCUGAAACACAUGUUUUAUAAAGUAGAAUUUAGCAGU